AACGAACGCUGGCGGUGUGCCUCAUACAUGCAAGUCGUACGCGAAUCCUGCCGCAAGGCAGGGUUUGAGUGGCAAACGGGUGCGUAACACGUAGGUAAUCUUCCUUUGAGUUGGGGAUAAGCCCUCGAAAGGGGGUCUAAUACCGAAUAACACUUCCGGUUGGCAUCAACCGGAAAUUAAAGAUGGCCUCUGCUUGCAAGCUAUCGCUC
rnacentral:rRNA from 1 species